AGCGAACGCUGGCGGCAGGCCUAACACAUGCAAGUCGAACGAACUCUUCGGAGUUAGUGGCGGACGGGUGGGUAACACGUGGGAACGUGCCUUUUGGUUCGGAAUAACUCAGGGAAACUUGUGCUAAUACCGAAUGUGCCCUUCGGGGGAAAGAUUUAUCGCCAUUAGAGCGGCCCGCGUCUGAUUAGCUAGUUGGUGAGGUAACGGCUCACCAAGGCGACGAUCAGUAGCUGGUCUGAGAGGAUGAGCAGCCACACUGAGACUAAGACGCGGCCCAGACUCCUACGGGAGGCGGCAGUGGGGGAUCUAGCGAAAUGGGGGAAAGGCUGACGCAGCCAUGCCGCGUGAAUGAUGAAGGUCUUAGGGUUGUAAAAUUCUUUCACCGGGGACGAUAAUGACGGUACCCGGAGAAGAAGCCCCGGCUAACUUCGUG
rnacentral:rRNA from 1 species